UCCUUCCACUCCCAGUCUUCCCAAUCCGCCUUCUUCCUCUUCCUCUUCCGAUCACCAGUCUUCCUCUCCUUUCCCCAUCUCAUCUCCACUACCUCCUUCGCCCCCGUCACCGCCCCCGCUCCGGACCUACUCCUUCCGCCGUCUAACGCCGCCUGCGGUCGACGAUGCUAUCCCCCCUGGCCCAUCCUCUGUCCCUCCUGUGGUCGACGGCGCCGUCCAUUCUUCUCCGGCGCCUCUCUCUCCUUUAGCGUCGCUGCCCUCCUCAUCACCUCUCCCUCCCACUUCCGUGCCCAUUCCCGCUUCACUACAUUAGAGAUGAUAAAAUUCUAGAUGGUUCAGUGGCCACAAGAUAUGUGAAUUCCGCUUAUCAGCUUGCUGAUGUUCUUACUAAACCUUUGGGGAAGGAUAUUUUCAUUCCAAUGAUUCGCAAGUUGGGAGUGCAAGACAUCCACUCGCCAACUUGAGGGGGAGUGUUCCACUUGUUGCUCCAAGUGAGUCCCUUCCCGAGAGACCUGGAGCGCCAGAUUGUCCAGUGAGUAGCAUUUCUGUUUAUUUAUUUUUGCUGAUAUGAUGCGUUUAAGCACUUGCACGGCUCAUAUAUACCCUUCCAUUUUUUAUGUUGUGGUACUUUCUAAAAACUCAAAGAUGCAAAUUUGGUCUUAGAUGCAAGUUUAAUCAUCCAAAGGACAAACUGGCUACUGCAGUAAGUGCAAAUGAGAUUAAUUAAGAUGCAAAGAUUUAAUUUUUAUCUGGACUUAUUUAUUGUUGUUAUAAUGAUAUGAUACUUUACUGAGUUUACUCUGGUUUCAAGGUGCCUCAGAAAAUGGUGAUGUUAUGCCUUACCCGAGAGGCCUUCUGAACCCGCAUGUGCGGUGACAUAUCUCUUUCCUACUAUUGUAAUCUGCAUUAUCUAUCUAUUAAUGAUGUUGAUUUGGUUAUAUUCCCAAAAAUAUGUUUAAACAUUUCUACUUGAAAACUGGGCAAUGCAAGUAUGGUGCACCCUGCAAAUUUAAUCACCCAAAAGACAUCCAGAUACCAUCAGCCACUCAAGAGAAUAAAUCUGGCGAAACUGAGACAGCUAUUAAGACGGAGGGCUUUGAAGUUGCCGUGAAGCCUCUUGUUUCAUUCUCUGCAGCACUAUUAUAUUACUCCAAAGAGCUUCCUGUAAGACCGGGUGAAGCUGAUUGUCCAUUCUACCUGAAAACUGGAAGGUGGGAGCGAGCCCUGCUGUUUGUCCUCAGUGCUUUGGACAGGCUGAGUGUGAAAUUCCAUCACCCGAUUGAUAGGCCAGCAGUGGCGUUGUCAACAACAAAGCCAUCUCAACAAGAAAAUGUGAAGCUAACGCUUGCUGGACUACCUAGGAGAGAGGGUGCCGUUAUCUGUGUGUGUUGCCCUAAAACUGGCACAUGCAAGUAUGGUGCAACUUGCAGAUUUGACCACCCACCUCCUGGCGCAGUUGUAGCAAUGGCAGCUUCACAAGCAAAAUCCGAUUCUACUGGAGGGAAAGCAUAAGCAGCUGAAUCCACACAGGAACAGCAGCAGUAGGUCCCUUGCUAGAAUGAAGAAGUGAUGAGACCUCGAAGGAGGUCAGUGGCAAAAGUGUUGCCAUCUGCCAUGGAAUAAAAUCACAAACUAGUAGUGGUCUGGUCGAAUCAUUGAAGUCCUGAUUGCUUUGGCAAACAAAGUCUCAGAAAGACCUAAAUGACUGAGUGGACUUGGAAACUUGUAAAACGGGGAUGCAUGGUGUCCAGGGUGCCGUUAUCUGUGUGUAUUACCUUGAAACUGGCACAUGCAAGUAUGGUGCAACCUGCAGAUUUGACCACCCACCUCCUGGCGAAGUUGUAGCAAUGGCAGCUUCACAAGCAAAAUCUGAUUCUACUGGAGGAAAAGCAUAAGCAGCUGAAUCCACACAGGAACAGCAGCAUUAGGCCCCUCGCUAGAAUGAAGUGAAUAGUGAUGAGGCCUCGAAGGACGAACGAGGACUAUGGCAAAAGUAUUGCCAUCUGGCAUGGUCUGUUUUGUACUAUGUUUCUGAGCCAUCAUGGUUUAUAAAUUGCCCAAUCAGCCAUUCUUUAUGCUCUGCGUAUAAGGUGCAAGUGUUGACCGAUUGGAUAACAUGAGGUAUUUCGUUCACCUGUAUUAAGUGAGUCUCUGCAUCUACUUUGUAGAUCUGGAGUAUCAGACUGAUGAGUUUCAGUGCUAUGGUGUUGUGAAAGUUUGCUCUCAUUGUCCUCUACUUCUUCCUUCUAUGACGAUAUUCACCCUUAAAAAAGCUUCUUUUUCUUUUUGACUUUUUCUGUUGAUGGCAUAAUCACCCUUAUCCUGGCUUAGAUUUAUGACUAGUUUCAGUGCUAUUCUGUAGUGAAAAGAACAACUUUUAACCAAAAUAAAAGAAAAAAACAAGUUACUCG